GCAUACGGCCAUAGGGACGGGGAAACGCCCAAAUCCAUUCCGAACUUGGAAGCUAAGCCCGUUCACGACAUGAAAUACUGCCCAUCAGGGCGGGAAAGCGUGUUGUCGUGUGCA
rnacentral:rRNA from 1 species